AACCAGAGCUGCUCCUGGCCUUUUCCAACCAGAAUUCCUUUCUCCCUCCUGAGAGCUUCAUUAGCACUUUAAAAAUAAUACUCCUUGAGCAAAACUCUAUUGCCUGUGUUCUCUGAGCAGUGCAUGGGUCUUCUCUGUACUCUUGAGUUCCUAGAGGCUCCACCACCUCUAGCAAUGCCUGGCCACAGUAGAGAUGUGGCUUGCUCAGUGAACUGCCACUAAGUGCUCCCUAGGCACCCACUGGUGUCAGGUCCUCUGCUGGGGCCCUGCUUCCUACAGACAGGUCCCUUCCUUGAAGGGCUCAUGCCUGACGAUCAUUAGCAAAGCCUUCCUGUGUCUAAAGGAUCGCUUACUCCCUGUUUGCUCAGAGCUCAGGAGGCACAGCCUCACUAGGAGGUUUGGAAAGCACCCUGCGGUGGAAGCCCUCCAGCCUUUCCCCCUGAGACUGGAGGGCCACUUCUAAGUUCCUCUGGCCACCUCAACCGUCCACUCAGCCAGGGAGCCAGGCUGUGGGUGACUUCCUCAGCACUGUCCCAGAAACCCUGUGCAGUCCUCAGAAGCAGCCCACCUCCCAGAG
rnacentral:lncRNA from 1 species